CCUCCUUUUGUCCUCCUUUCUUCCUCUUUUUCACUUGUCUGCAUCCUUAACCAGCCAAGUAGCGUGCAGGAUGACGGCCCUACGGGUUGUAAACUGCUUUUAUACGGGAAUAACGCGCCUUACGUGUAGGGCUUUGCAUGUACCGUAUGAAUAAGGACCGGCUAAUUCCGUGCCAGCAGCCGCGGUAAUACGGAAGGUCCGGGCGUUAUCCGGAUUUAUUGGGGUUAAAGGGAGCGUAGGCCGCAUGUCAAGCGUGCUGUGAAAUGUCCGGGCUCAACCCGGGCCUUGCAGCGCGAACUGGCGUGCUUGAGUCCGCGGAAAGCAGGCGGAAUUCGUCGUGUAGCGGUGAAAUGCUUAGAUAUGACGAAGAACCCCGAUUGCGAAGGCAGCUUGCUGCAGCGGAACUGACGCUGAUGCUCGAAAGCGCGGGUAUCGAACAGGAUUAGAUACCCUUGUAGUC
rnacentral:rRNA from 1 species